CCUCGGGGCGCAGCAGUGGGGAAUAUUGCACAAUGGGCGCAAGCCUGAUGCAGCCAUGCCGCGUGUAUGACGAAGGCCUUCGGGUUGUAAAGUACUUUCAGCGGGGAGGAAGGGAGUGAGGUUAAUAACCUUAUUCAUUGACGUUACCCGCAGAAGAAGCACCGGCUAACUCCGUGCCAGCAGCCGCGGUAAUACGGAGGGUGCAAGCGGUAAUCGGAAUUACUGGGCGUAAAGCGCACGCAGGCGGUCUGUCAAGUCGGAUGUGAAAUCCCCGGGCUCAACCUGGGAACUGCAUUCGAAACUGGCAGGCUGGAGUCUUGUAGAGGGGGGUAGAAUUCCAGGUGUAGCGGUGAAAUGCGUAGAGAUCUGGAGGAAUACCGGUGGCGAAGGCGGCCCCCUGGACAAAGACUGACGCUCAGGUGCGAAAGCGUGGGGAGCAAACAGGAUUAGAUACCCUAGUAGUC
rnacentral:rRNA from 1 species